rnacentral:rRNA from 1 species
CGCGGCCUAUCAGCUUGUUGGUGGGGUGAUGGCCUACCAAGGCGACGACGGGUAGCCGGCCUGAGAGGGUGUCCGGCCACACUGGGACUGAGAUACGGCCCAGACUCCUACGGGAGGCAGCAGUGGGGAAUAUUGCACAAUGGGCGCAAGCCUGAUGCAGCGACGCCGCGUGGGGGAUGACGGCCUUCGGGUUGUAAACCUCUUUCACCAUCGACGAAGGUCCGGGUUUUCUCGGAUUGACGGUAGGUGGAGAAGAAGCACCGGCCAACUACGUGCCAGCAGCCGCGGUAAUACGUAGGGUGCGAGCGUUGUCCGGAAUUACUGGGCGUAAAGAGCUCGUAGGUGGUUUGUCGCGUUGUUCGUGAAAUCUCACGGCUUAACUGUGAGCGUGCGGGCGAUACGGGCAGACUGGAGUACUGCAGGGGAGACUGGAAUUCCUGGUGUAGCGGUGGAAUGCGCAGAUAUCAGGAGGAACACCGGUGGCGAAGGCGGGUCUCUGGGCAGUAACUGACGCUGAGGAGCGAAAGCGUGGGGAGCGAACAGGAUUAGAUACCCUGGUAGUCCACGCCGUAAACGGUGGGUACUAGGUGUGGGUUUCCUUCCUUGGGAUCCGUGCCGUAGCUAACGCAUUAAGUACCCCGCCUGGGGAGUACGG